UGCUUCAUAGCUCAGUGGUAGAGCAGUCGCCCGAUAAGCGAUUGGUCGCUGGUUCGAAUCCGGCUGAAGCAA
rnacentral:tRNA from 1 species